GCACUUGAAAUUGGCAGUGUAUACAGCCUAUAUCUGUAGCGUCCCUCGGGACUAUGGACAUAAAGGCGCUUGUAAUAAGCGGGCCGGACGGGGGUGCGAUUCCCCCCAGCUCCACCAAAAACCCUUUCAUUUGAAGGGCAUUGAGGGGCUGAAUUAGGGUCGACGGACGUCUAAAGAAGUUAGCUUUGUCUCGGCUGUCUGCCACCGUUAUCGGCGAAAACAGUACAAUUGCAAAUGACAAUCGUGCUCCGGUUGCAGUUGCUGCGUAAGCAGUAGCAAGACCGAAACUUAAGCCCUUGCGCCUAGCCGCGUAAGGCGGGGUUCGUAGGCACCUGGCAACAGAAGCCUGCACU
rnacentral:tmRNA from 1 species